UACGAAGGGGGGCUAGCGUUGUUCGGAAUUACUGGGCGUAAAGCGCACGUAGGUGGCGAUGUAAGUCGGGUGUGAAAAGCCCCCGGGCUCAACCUGGGAAUUGCAUUCGAGACUGCAUUGCUGGAGUACGGAAGAGGAAGGCGGAAUUCCCCGGUGUAGCGGUGAAAAUGCGUAGAUAUCGGGAGGAACAUCAGUGGCGAAGGCGGCCUUCUGGUCCAGUACUGACACUCAAGUGCGAAAAGCGUGGGGGAGCAAACAGG
rnacentral:rRNA from 1 species